ACGGAGGAUGCAAGCGUUAAUCGGAAUUACUGGGCGUAAAGCGCACGUAGGCGGCGCCGUAAGUCAGGGGUGAAAUCCCGGAGCUCAACUCCGGAACUGCCCUUGAAACUGCAGUGCUAGAAUCUUGGAGAGGCGAGUGGAAUUCCGAGUGUAGAGGUGAAAUUCGUAGAUAUUCGGAAGAACACCAGUGGCGAAGGCGACUCGCUGGACAAGUAUUGACGCUGAGGUGCGAAAGCGUGGGGAGCAAACAGGA
rnacentral:rRNA from 1 species